rnacentral:rRNA from 1 species
UACGGGGGGGGCAAGCGUUGUCCGGAAUCAUUGGGCGUAAAGGGCGCGUAGGUGGCCUGUGGAAGUCUGCGGUGAAAGCCCGGCGCUCAACGCCGGGUCUGCAGUCGAUACGGGGCAGACUAGAGUGCGGUAGGGGAGACUGGAAUUCCUGGUGUAGCGGUGAAAUGCGCAGAUAUCAGGAGGAACACCGGUGGCGAAGGCGGGUCUCUGGGCCGUAACUGACGCUGAGGAGCGACAGCGUGGGGGAGCAAACAGG